GGGCGUGUGGUCUAGUGGUAUGAUUCUCGCUUUGGGCAGUUUCCUCUUAAAACAGGAAUGCAAAGCAUGCGAGAGGCCCUGGGUUCAAUUCCCAGCUCGCCCC
rfam:Saccharomyces arboricola H-6 unplaced genomic scaffold ST7_scaffold14, whole genome shotgun sequence.